GUGCCAGCCUGCCGCGGUAAUACCGGCAGCCCGAGUGAUGGCCGAUCUUAUUGGGCCUAAAGCGUCCGUAGCUGGCCGUACAAGUCCAUCGGGAAAUCCACCUGCUCAACAGGUGGGCGCCCGGUAGAAACUGUGUGGCUUGGGACCGGAAGGCGCGACGGGUACGUCCGGGGUAGGAGUGAAAUCCCGUAAUCCUGGACGGACCGCCGAUGGCGAAAGCACGUCGCGAGAACGGAUCCGACAGUGAGGGACGAAAGCCAGGGUCUCGAACCGGAUUAGAAACCCCGGUAGUCC
rnacentral:rRNA from 1 species